rnacentral:rRNA from 1 species
AACGAACGCUGGCGGCAGGCCUAACACAUGCAAGUCGAACGCCCUGGCAACAGGGAGUGGCAGACGGGUGAGUAACGCGUGGGAACGUGCCCUUCGGUUCGGAAUAACUCAGGGAAACUUGAGCUAAUACCGGAUACGUUCGAGAGCAGAAAGAUUUAUCGCCGAAGGAUCGGCCUGCGUCCGAUUAGCUAGUUGGUGAGGUAACGGCUCACCAAGGCGACGAUCGGUAGCUGGUCUGAGAGGAUGAUCAGCCACACUGGGACUGAGACACGGCCCAGACUCCUACGGGAGGCAGCAGUGGGGAAUAUUGGACAAUGGGCGCAAGCCUGAUCCAGCCAUGCCGCGUGAGUGAUGAAGGCCCUAGGGUUGUAAAGCUCUUUCGCCAGGGACGAUAAUGACGGUACCUGGAUAAGAAGCCCCGGCUAACUUCGUGCCAGCAGCCGCCGUAA